CAUGGCCAUUUCGAAUUGAAUCAGUCCUCAUCAGUUCCUUCUCUAACCAAUUCUUGUUUAAUCAUAAUUUCAGUAAAACACAACUCUUUUCUCCUUUCCUCGGCCAUUUUCAGUUGCAGCUGCCCUCAUCAGUGCUAUAUCUCCACCAAAUUCUUGCCUUUUCAUAUUUUCAGCAAAACCCACAAAUCUUUUUUCCUUUCCGCGACCUUUUCCAAUUGCAGUAGUCCUCAUUAGCGAUGUAUCUCCACGAACUUCUUCCCUUUUUGCAUUUUCUAUGAAACCUAGAAAUUUUUUCACCUUUCCAUGGCCAUUACCAAUUGAAGUGGUUUCAAUUAGUGUUGUAUCGUCAUUUAGUGCUGAAACAACGGGAGUUGUAAGUAUUCAAGAAUCAAGAAUGAGGAGACGAGAAAGGGAUAAAAGAUAGAUUUUGUAAUAUUGAAGAGGUUAUUUUUGUCCAAAAAAAUAUAAACUCAUUCAUUUUCAAUAGUUUAGAAUUAUAUUUCUCUUAAAUUAAGAGGCGUUGAGAUUUAACCUCUGAUCGAAUCAAAAACAUCUAUUAAAAGGUAUUCAAAUGUAUUAAUAUCCUUGGAAGUUGGAAGACAGAAAGCCUCGAGUCCUGGAGUAAAUAGAGGCUUACUUUUUUUGGAAGACGGAGAAGUAUGAUCAAGUCAUCCAAGUAUUCAAUAGGGACAUGAUAAAAAAUUGGUAUAGUUGAAUCAAUUUGAAGGCACUCAUAGCAACUCCAAAAGAACCCAAAUCUUCCAUUCAAAGAAUAUGACAUGUAAAUGC
rnacentral:lncRNA from 1 species